GAUCCUGGCUCAGGAUGAACGCUAGCUACAGGCUUAACACAUGCAAGUCGAGGGGAAACGACAUCGAAAGCUUGCUUUUGGUGGGCGUCGACCGGCGCACGGGUGAGUAACGCGUAUCCAACCUGCCCACCACUUGGGGAUAACCCUGCGAAAGUAAGACUAAUACCCAAUGACGUCUCUAGAAGACAUCUGAAAGAGAUUAAAGAUUUAUCGGUGAUGGAUGGGGAUGCGUCUGAUUAGCUUGUUGGCGGGGUAACGGCCCACCAAGGCGACGAUCAGUAGGGGUUCUGAGAGGAAGGUCCCCCACAUUGGAACUGAGACACGGUCCAAACUCCUACGGGAGGCAGCAGUGAGGAAUAUUGGUCAAUGGACGAGAGUCUGAACCAGCCAAGUAGCGUGCAGGAUGACGGCCCUAUGGGUUGUAAACUGCUUUUAUAAGGGAAUAAAGUGAGCCUCGUGAGGCUUUUUGCAUGUACCUUAUGAAUAAGGACCGGCUAAUUCCGUG
rnacentral:rRNA from 1 species